UUGCAGCCACCGGGUCAAUCCACCUCACUGAGGGUCUUCCUCUUUUCCGCUGACCCUGUGCUCUGCCAAGCAUGAUGUCCUUCUCCAGGGACUGAUCCCUCCUGACAACAUGUCCAAGUGAUCAUCUUGAGAAGAGGAGCCUCAGACCCAGACACUGUCAGGGCAGGUCAGCCCUUGAGAUCAACCAUCGCCUCUGCUAAGUCCACUCAUCUAGAGCCUUGGAAACCCUGUGGAAUGACAGCUACUAGAUGACAAAGGUUUCUGAAGUUGUGUCCACAGUGCAAUCCUGGCACCUACGACAGUGUCCACACAUAGUAGGUGAUCAAUAAUACUUGCUGAAGGUGUCUAAGAAUAAAUGACUUCACUCCUUUAAUCAAAACCGUAUGUGAAA